CGGGGUGUAGCGCAGCAUGGUCAGCGCGCCUGCUUUGGGAGCAGGAUGUCGGAGGUUCAAAUCCUCUCACCCCGA
rnacentral:tRNA from 1 species